AUUGAACGCUGGCGGCAUGCCUUACACAUGCAAGUCGAACGGUAACGGGCCUUCGGGUGCCGACGAGUGGCGAACGGGUGAGUAAUACAUCGGAACGUGCCCGAUCGUGGGGGAUAACGAGGCGAAAGCUUUGCUAAUACCGCAUACGAUCUACGGAUGAAAGCAGGGGACCGCAAGGCCUUGCGCGGACGGAGCGGCCGAUGGCAGAUUAGGUGGUUGGUGGGAUAAAAGCUUACCAAGCCGACGAUCUGUAGCUGGUCUGAGAGGAUGAUCAGCCACACUGGGACUGAGACACGGCCCAGACUCCUACGGGAGGCAGCAGUGGGGAAUUUUGGACAAUGGGCGCAAGCCUGAUCCAGCCAUGCCGCGUGCAGGAUGAAGGCCUUCGGGUUGUAAACUGCUUUUGUACGGAACGAAAAGCCUUCUUUUAAUACAGGAGGGUCAUGACGGUACCGUAAGAAUAAGCACCGGCUAACUACGUG
rnacentral:rRNA from 1 species